rfam:Stentor coeruleus isolate WM001 SteCoe_contig_337, whole genome shotgun sequence.
GGCUCUAUAGUGUAAUGGUAGCACGUGAGCCUACGGAGCUUAUAGUCGGGGUUCAAAUCCCCGUAGAGUCA